rnacentral:rRNA from 1 species
CAACAGCGUAUAUUAAAGUUGUUGCAGUUAAAACGCUCGUAGUCGGAUUUCGGGGCGGGCGGGCCGGUCUGCCGAUGGGUAUGCACUGGUCUGGCCGUCCUUCCUUCCGGAGACCGUGCGUGCUCUUAACUGAGUGCGCUCGGGAGACGGAUCGUUUACUUUGAAAAAAUCAGAGUGUUUCAAGCAGGCAGCUCGCUCUUGCAUGGAUUAGCAUGGGAUAAUGAAAUAGGACUUUGGUGCUAUUUUGUUGGUUUCGAACACCGAAGUAAUGAUUAACAGGGACAGUCAGGGGCACUCGUAUUCCGCCGAGAGAGGUGAAAUUCUCAGACCAGCGGAAGACGAACCACUGCGAAAGCAUUUGCCAGGGAUGUUUUCACUGA